rnacentral:rRNA from 1 species
UACAGAGGGUGCAAGCGUUACUCGGAAUUACUGGGCGUAAAGCGUGCGUAGACGGUUAUUUAAGUCAGGUGUGAAAGCCCCGGGCUCAACCUGGGAAUUGCAUUUGAGACUGAAUAGCUAGGGUGCGGAAGAGGAAAGUGGAAUUCCACGUGUAGCGGUGAAAUGCGUAGAGAUGUGGAGGAACACCAGUGGCGAAGGCGACUUUCUGGCUUAUAACUGACGCUGAGGCGCGAAAGCGUGGGGAGCAAACAGG